rnacentral:rRNA from 1 species
AAUACCUUUUGGUUAUAAAUAAUUGUUAGUGGCAGACGGGUGAGUAAUGCGUAGGAAUCUACCUAGUAGUAUGGAAUAGCCAUUAGAAAUGAUGGGUAAUACUGUAUAAUCCCUGCGGGGGAAAGAUUUAUCGCUAUUAGAUGAGCCUACGUUAGAUUAGCUAGUUGGUAAGGUAAUGGCUUACCAAGGCUAUGAUCUAUAGCUGGUCUGAGAGGACGAUCAGCCACACUGGAACUGAGAUACGGUCCAGACUCCUACGGGAGGCAGCAGUGGGGAAUAUUGGACAAUGGGCGAAAGCCUGAUCCAGCUAUGCCGCGUGAGUGAAGAAGGCCUUCGGGUUGUAAAACUCUUUCAAUAGGGAAGAUAGCCCGGGUUNCCCUAUAA